rnacentral:lncRNA from 1 species
GUGCUGUCUGGCCAGACUAAUAAAGGUCUGUUUUACUUUCCAACUUGUCCGGUGUGUUCUCUCCUGGGUGUUCUUUGCUGCAGUCAGCUCCUCGGUGUGUUUGAUAAGGCCCUUGGUCUUACACAUUUACCAUUUCUUCUCCUCAUUACCAAAUGUAAGGGUGAUGAAAUAAAGAGUUCAUCAUGAAGGUGGUGAGUCUCCUCCUUGAGGGAAAAUUGGAGAAAGAAAAGCUAAGCAUUGGCUGGAGGAAGCAUGCUAUAAUGAAGGAACACUGAUUUAGAAGAAAACAAGAAAUGCUGGAUUCAUGAUGGGAAGAAUGCCUACAUUGAAGCUGAGGUUAAAGGGAGUGAAAAUGAUGGAAAAAUUAUUGUUGAGACUAGUAAUGGAAGGGUGAAAGAAUAUUUCAUCUUGGGAAUGACUGUGUUCUCUAUUUCAUCAAAUCUCCUUUCUGUGAUAUUUUUAUUAAGGACAUGAGGUAGAAGAUGCUACUGACCAGUUUGGAGACUUCAGAUGUUUUUAAGUUGUCUCCACUUACUAUAAAGACUUAAUGAAAA